GCGGGUUUAGCUCAGUUGGGAGAGCGUCAGACUGAAGUUAACUUCAAUCGGUUAAAAUGAUGUUCCGAGGAAUCGGGGUGUCAGGAAGACAAUCUGAAGGUCGUGUGUUCGAUCCACACAAACCGCA